rnacentral:rRNA from 1 species
ACUCAAAUGAAUAGACGGGGGCUCACACAAGCGGUGGAGCAUGUGGCUUAAUUCGAAGCAACGCGAAGAACCUUACCCGGGUUUGACAUGCAUGGAUGUUUCUCGGCGAUGAGUUGAGAAAUUGCCCGCAAGGGUGAAACAUGCACAGGUGUUGCACGGCUGUCGUCAGCUCGUGCUGUGAAGUGUCGGGUUAAGUCCCUUAACGAGCGAAACCCUUGUCGCUAGUUACUAGCGGGUAAAGCCGAGGACUCUAGCGAGACUGCCGGCGUUAAGCCGGAGGAAGGCGGGGACGACGUCAAGUCAUCGUGGCCCUUAUGCCCGGGGAUGCACACGUGCUACAAUGGCGACUACAGAGCGCUGCAAGACCGUGAGGUGGAGCAAAUCGCAAAAAAGUCGCCUCAGUUCGGAUUGGAGGCUGCAAUUCGCCUCCAUGAAGUUGGAAUCGCUAGUAAUCGCGUAUCAGCUACGACGCGGUGAAUGUGUUCCUGAGCCUUGUACACACCGCCCGU